CCUACGGGAGGCAGCAGUAAGGAAUAUUGGUCAAUGGACGAAAGUCUGAACCAGCCAUGCCGCGUGAAGGAUGAAGGCCCUCUGGGUUGUAAACUUCUUUUAUCUGGGACGAAAAAAGCUCAUUCUUGAGCACUUGACGGUACCAGAGGAAUAAGCACCGGCUAACUCCGUGCCAGCAGCCGCGGUAAUACGGAGGGUGCAAGCGUUAUCCGGAUUCACUGGGUUUAAAGGGUGCGUAGGUGGGUCUGUAAGUCAGUGGUGAAAUCUCCGGGCUUAACUCGGAAACUGCCAUUGAUACUAUAGGUCUUGAAUCAUCUGGAGGUAAGCGGAAUAUGUCAUGUAGCGGUGAAAUGCUUAGAUAUGACAUAGAACACCAAUUGCGAAGGCAGCUUACUACGGGUGUAUUGACACUGAGGCACGAAAGCGUGGGGAUCAAACAGGAUUAGAUACCCUGGUAGUCCACGCCCUAAACGAUGGAUACUCGACAUCAGCGAUACACUGUUGGUGUCUGNGNGAAGANAUAGUAUACCACCNCGGAGACGACGACGAGUAGAAGUAAGUAAGUAGACGCGNGAGAGAGACGACGACGACGACGAGGGAGGAGG
rnacentral:rRNA from 1 species